rnacentral:snoRNA from 1 species
GUGCACUGUUCGUAAGCUGUUAACAGUAUCUUUCUGCUAAUGGGUUCCAUUCCAGUGCUACAGGAUACCCCAAGAUAAUAGAAGGCUGGCUGUUUGUCUGCCUGUCCCCUUUAUUUUGGGGGACAUAA